rnacentral:rRNA from 1 species
CGCAGCCGCGGUAAUUCCAGCUCCAAUAGCGUAUAUUAAAGUUGUUGCAGUUAAAAGCUCGUAGUUGAAUUUCGGGAUCAGUUGGUCGGUCGUGCCUCGGUACGUACUGGUCAAAUUGAUUCCUAACUUCUGACGAACCACGAUGUCAUUAAUUUGGUGUCGCGGGAAAUCAGGACUGUUACUUUGAAAAAUUGAGUGCUUAAAGCAGGCUCGCGCUUGAAUACAUUAGCAUGGAAUAAUGAAAUAGGACGUUUGAUUCUAUUUUGUUGGUUUCUAGGAUCGACGUAAUGAUUAAUAGGGAUAGUUGGGGGCAUUAGUAUUCAAUUGUCAGAGGUGAAAUUCUUGGAUUUAUUGAAGACUAACUACUGCGAAAGCAUUUGCCAAGGAUGUCUUCAUUAAUCAAGAACGAAAGUUAG